CUGACACCAGUAAGUACCUGUUUCUAAAUAGAAUGCUGCCUAUUCACCUUGGAAUGGCCAUCUAUACACCAAACAAUGUUUUGUU
rnacentral:lncRNA from 1 species